rnacentral:misc_RNA from 2 species
CUGGAACUGUGUCCGCAAGGACACAACCCCAGAUACCCUUUGUGAACUUAUUCUUAUAUCGUUGCCUCGGCGCUGAGCUGGGGGCUUCUUUCCAAGGAGCUCUCCCAUGGUCUCUCGGGACGAUGGAGCAAGCCCGCCGGCGGCCCUUCUAAACUCUUGUUUUUAUUACGUAUCUCUUCUGAGUUAUUCAAAACAAAAUGAAUCA